rnacentral:rRNA from 1 species
GACGAACGCUGGCGGCGUGCUUAACACAUGCAAGUCGAACGGAAAGGCCCUGCGUUUGUGGGGUGGUCGAGUGGCGAACGGGUGAGUAACACGUGUGUAACCUGCACCUGACUUUGGGAUAACUUCAGGAAACUGGGGCUAAUACCGGAUAGGAUAUCCUGCUGCAUGGUGGGGGAUGGAAAGUUUCGGCUGUUGGGGAUGGACUCGCUGCUUAUGGGCUUGAUGGUGGGGUAGUGGAUUACCAAGGCUUUGACGGGUAGCCGGCAUGAGAGGGUGACCGGGGUCAUGAGGACUGAGAUACGGAGCAGACUCGUAUGGGAGGCAGCAGGCGGGAAUUUGGCAGAACGGGCGGACGCGAGAGGUGGAAACGCUGCGUGCGGGAUGACGGGCUACUGGUGGAGAACAAAUGUGGAAGUUGACGAGGAGUUAGUGACGGUAAUGGGUAAAGAAGCACCGGCUAACUACGUG